rnacentral:tRNA from 1 species
GCCUUCGUGGUGUAAUUGGGAACACGUCAGGCUGACAACUCGAACGUUCGGAGUUUGAAUCUCAGAUAGGGCA